rnacentral:rRNA from 1 species
AUUGAACGCUGGCGGCAGGCCUAACACAUGCAAGUCGAACGGUAGCACAGAGAGCUUGCUCUCGGGUGACGAGUGGCGGACGGGUGAGUAACGUCUGGGAAACUGCCCGAUGGAGGGGGAUAACUACUGGAAACGGUAGCUAAUACCGCAUAACGUCACAAGACCAAAGUGGGGGACCUUCGGGCCUCACACCAUCGGAUGUGCCCAGAUGGGAUUAGCUAGUAGGUGGGGUAAUGGCUCACCUAGGCGACGAUACCUAGCUGGUCUGAGAGGAUGACCAGCCACACUGGAACGGAGACACGGUCCAGACUCCUACGGGAGUCAGCAGUGGGGAAUAUUGCACAAUGGGCGCAAGCCUGAUGCAGCCAUGCCGCGUGUAUGAAGAAGGCCUACGGGUUGUAAAGUACUUUCAGCGGGGAGGAAGGCGGUGAAGUUAAUAACUUCACCGAUUGACGUUACCCGCAGAAGAAGCACCGGCUAACUCCGUGCCAGCAGCCGCCGUAA